UACAGAGGGUGCAAGCGUUGUUCGGAAUUAUUGGGCGUAAAGCGCGUGUAGGCGGCUUUGCAAGUCGGGUGUGAAAGCCCUCAGCUCAACUGAGGAAGUGCGCCCGAAACUGCAGAGCUUGAGUACCGGAGAGGAUGGUGGAAUUCCCCAAGUAGAGGUGAAAUUCGUAGAUAUGGGGAGGAACACCGGUGGCGAAGGCGACCAUCUGGACGGAUACUGACGCUGAGACGCGAAAGCGUGGGUAGCAACAGG
rnacentral:rRNA from 1 species